AAGAGCUUCAGCACAGAAAACAUCCGAUGUGCUCUCCAAUAAGCCAGAGGACCGUUUGCUCACUUGAGCUGAAAAUGGAAAACACGCAGUUGCACAUGCAAACACCCUGAAAAGAAAGUCAAAUAGGCGAACGUGGGGGAAAGAUGACAGGAGAUGACUCACACCAAGUAGCAGGAUGAGCCAGUGUGCUAGCUCUGGUAAAAGGCUAAGCAGAGAGGCCCUCACCCUGAAGUCCAAGAUGCAUGCUGGAGACGCACCAUCACAUCCAUGCCCCAGACAGCCAAAUAGAAACAGCAGGAAGAAGUAUUCCCUCCCCACUCUAAAGGAUGCAGUACGAUUUUGUUGUUCUUUGCAUGGCUCCUCCUCAUCUCUUCUCUCCUCUUUUCUUUCUCUCUCUUCUCAA